rnacentral:lncRNA from 1 species
AAUCAUCAUUGACGAAGCGGUCUCAGAAAUCACCCCCAAAAACCUCGAUACAGACUUCAUCCAUGACCACGAACACUCAGAAACAUGAUCGGAUUCGUCUACGAGGCUCUGAUACCAUGUUAACAUCAAGAUUAAACGAGAGAAUCAUACAAAUUAUAGAGAGAGAAAGUAGAGAGAAGGAGGAUAGUAGGUGAAAAGUCUCUC